CCUCAUUUCAAACACCUCCAUCACAAUUGAAAGCUCUAUCUGUAUUUAAGCUAAAUGUUAUAUUUUUUAAAACUAAGAAAAUUCUCUGCAUGUAUCACUUUCUAAUUAGCUGUUUCCAUGGGGACCAAAUUACCUUCUGAACUGAGACUGAGCACCACACUCAAUCUCUCAGCUUCACCUUCUCCCUAUCUCACAAAACUUGUUGAAUCAAAGCACUCAACUCUACAGCACUGGCAGUGCAGCCUUGUCAUUUUAACUGUCUGCUCACGCCUACUCAGACUUCAACCUCAUUGCAGCUCAUCUUUCAAUUCAGCACGUGAUAACCUUCAACAUAGACUUCAGUAGGUUCAGGGCCAACGGAAUCUUUGUUAGGUUCCGGAAUGUUCCACCUGAUAGGGUGCCAGAAUUUAAGUACACGUGAAUUUUAAAGAGAGGUUUGCAGGUAUUUGAGAAUGAGGAAUGUAUCGGUUAAAGUCAUGAAGUGGGUGAUUGGGACCAAAUACGACAGUUCUUUCAAAAAGCUGAUGUGUUAUUUGGGUAAAUCUGUACCCCUCUCAGGCACAUAUCCCUCAGUUGCAGGACCCAGAACUGAACAUCUUCCCCAAACAGUGAUCCAACUAUAAGUUUGAAUAUAUUGCUCCUUUUCGAUUUACAAGAGAGAUAUUUUCCCAUAGACAGAACAGACAAACCUUCUUCCUUCCACAGUUAAGUGCCAACGCUAUUCAGAUCCUGACGACUCUGUUGAUUGUCAGAAAUUGUUUUGAGAUCCAGGUCUGCAAAUUCUUCUAAAACUAAUUCACAAAAGAAAAAUCACUGUCAGUUCAGGAUAGAAAUCUAGAAAGGACAAGCAUUUCUUUUGAUUUCAGUUUGGUUGUGUGAAAGCACCUUUUCGAAUCACCUCGCCCCGACACGGGAGGAAAACUACGCAUGCUCACAACUGCAUCUUGCCCCCAAGAAAGAUGGCACAGUUAACCAAAGGCCUAUCACCGCCUGAGCCUGCAGCCGUUUUCCCACUUGCUGCAAACGCGGGACCGGGAAUUUCUAAAUUCAGCAUUGUCCAUUCUGAGCUACAGAAGAAGAUUUCAGUUUACAGAUCCAAGUGAGAAUCCAAGACAUCAAUUCAACUGAAUCAUCUUCUCUGAUUUCUUCUGAAGUGUCUUUAGGAAAUAAAUUCGGUUUUUGUUUCAUAAA